rnacentral:rRNA from 1 species
AUUGAACGCUGGCGGCAGGCCUAACACCUGCAAGUCGAGCGAGCGGCGGACGGGUGAGUAAUGUAUGGGGACUGCCCGAUAGAGGGGGAUAACUACUGGAAACGGUGGCUAAUACCGCAUACUAUCGGAUUAACCAUAUGGGAUUAGCUAGUAGGUGGGGUAAAGGCUCACCUAGGCGACGAUCUCUAGCUGGUCUGAGAGGAUGAUCAGUCACACUGGGACUGAGACACGGCCCAGCGUCCGACGGAGGCAGCAGUGGGGAAUAUUGCACAAUGGGCGCAAGCCUGAUGCAGCCAUGCCGCGUGUAUGAAGAAUGCCGUAGGGUUGUAAAGUACUUUCAGCGGGGAGGCGUUACCCGCAGAAGAAGCACCGGCAAAAAAAGGGCCAGCAGCCGCGGUAAUUC